rnacentral:rRNA from 1 species
UACAGAGGGUGCGAGCGUUGUCCGGAAUCACUGGGCGUAAAGGGCGCGUAGGUGGUGGCUUAAGCGUGCGGUGAAAGCUCGGAGCUCAACUCCGAGUCGGCCGUGCGAACUGGGCUCACUGGAGCAUAGUAGAGGCAGGUGGAAUUCCGGGUGUAGCGGUGGAAUGCGUAGAGAUCCGGAGGAACACCGGUGGCGAAGGCGGGUCUCUGGGCCGUAACUGACGCUGAGGAGCGAAAGCGUGGGGAGCGAACAGG